rnacentral:rRNA from 1 species
UACGGAGGGUGCGAGCGUUGUCCGGAAUCACUGGGCGUAAAGGGCGCGUAGGUGGCCUGAUGAGUCAACGGUGAAAGCUCGUCGCUCAACGACGAGUCGGCCGUCGAUACUGUCGGGCUGGAGCACUGUAGAGGCUCAUGGAAUUCCGGGUGUAGCGGUGGAAUGCGUAGAGAUCCGGAAGAACACCGGUGGCGAAGGCGGUGAGCUGGGCAGUUGCUGACACUGAGGCGCGGACGGCGACGGGAGGGAGCAAACAGGG